UUCAACACGAAGAUUUAUUUCUACGGAAACUGCGUACCUGGGCAGAAACGUUUCACCUGUUGUGUGGAUGGGUGCGAUAAUGGGGAUUAACAGCUAAAUAUAAGUUACAAUACCAUUUAUCUGCAACUCUCACAUGGCUUUUGAUGGGCAAAACUACAGCAGACUGGAAAGGGUGUUUGCUGCUCUUAUAUGUGGUGUAUCCAGGCAGACUGUGGAGACAAAUGAACUCCCACUCAGAUCAGCCAUUACUGUAUAAAAUGCUGCCUCAGCCGAGCCCACUGUGGAGGAGGGAGAGGACUGUGACUUCUAGAUGACCUAGGAAACCACCUUUGGAUGGGAAAAAUUACAUCAAUGACAACAUCAACAGCAACAACACAAAGGCCUCUUUGGAAGACCCUCUCCUUUUCUGUCCCAUCAGGAAGUCUUCCUUUUUUCUGUAACAGUCCAAGCCAGUUUAUGAGUUAGUAUUUAAAAAUCUAGAGGCUGGGGUGAGUUCAUGGAAAAGAUGUUGGGAAACAUGUCCAUUAAUGCAGCAAGUAUUUUUUUUUUUAUUUCAGCAUCCAUGUGAAUAUGUCUAUCAAUCUGACUCAUGUUUAAAUGAAUGGGGUCUGCACCUACCGAAUUAGUUCUUAAGCUAUAAUAAUAAUGGACUAAAACCCAGGUCCAGAUCCAUGUUUGGACAGGCUAGUCUGGGACUCAGACAGAAAACCCAGCCACUACUGUGCCAUAGAUA